rnacentral:hammerhead_ribozyme from 1 species
AUCCAGCUGACGAGUCCCAAAUAGGACGAAACACGCCACUUGGAU